rnacentral:rRNA from 1 species
AACGAACGCUGGCGGCAGGCUUAACACAUGCAAGUCGAACGCACCUUCGGGUGAGUGGCGCACGGGUGAGUGACGCGUGGGAAUCUGCCCUGGAGUGGGGGGACAACUGCUGGAAACGGCAGCUAAUACCGCAUACGCCCUUACGGGGGAAAGCUUUAUGCGCUCCAGGAUGAGCCCGCGUCGGAUUAGCUUGUUGGUGAGGUAACGGCUCACCAAGGCGACGAUCCGUAGCUGGUCUGAGAGGAUGAUCAGCCACACUGGGACUGAGACACGGCCCAGACUCCUACGGGAGGCAGCAGUGGGGAAUAUUGGACAAGUGGGGGCAACCCUGAUCCAGCAAUGCCGCGUGUGUGAAGAAGGCCUUCGGGUUGUAAAGCACUUUCACUCGCGAAGAUGAUGACGGUAGCGAGAGAAGAAGCCCCGGCUAACUCCGUG